UACAGAGGUGGCAAGCGUUGUUCGGAAUUACUGGGCGUAAAGGGCGCGUAGGCGGUCUUGUCAGUCCCUUGUGCAAUCCCCCGGCUCAACUGGGGAACUGCACGGGAAACAGCAGGGCUUGAGUUCGGGAGAGGGAAGCGGAAUUCCGGGUGUAGCGGUGAAAUGCGUAGAUAUCCGGAGGAACACCGGUGGCGAAGGCGGCUUCCUGGACCGACACUGACGCUGAGGCGCGAAAGCUAGGGGAGCAAACGGG
rnacentral:rRNA from 1 species